CUUAGUUUUGUAAUGGAGGACCUGUGACGUAUGUUCGCUAAGUUGAGAUAUUUUUUCUUAUCUUUUCUUAUCUAUAUUUUUCUUUCCUAUAAUGACAGUUGACACGAUUCUAAUCACCGCUGUUUCCCUACAGUUGCCCAGGCCGGCGGGCGUGGAGAUACGUAGCCCCUUUGCCUUCUCCCAACCAGGGAUACAGACAUAAAAAGUUGCAAUACCAUGUGCCUUAGCUAGUGCGCAAGCUCUAGCCGGCAGUUGCAGUGCUAUAGCCGGGACAAUCACAUAUGCCAGAAGCCGUGGUCACAGCUGACUCAAGCCUCCCGGUCACAGAGCUGAUCAUGACAACUGACUCCAGUCUCCUUUGUGUAAAAUUUUGUUUCGAUAUUGUUGAUGAUGGUAGAAGAAGCAUGUUGAUAUCAUAUGUGUAUUAAGUAGUAGCAUCGUCGACAGAAAGAAGGCAACAUGGGAAGGAACCAGAUCAGUAGCAGAGCCAUCACGUGCAGGCUAUAUAAUACAUUGCUAGCCACAGUAAACCUUACACCAGUUAGAGAUUACUGGGGUGACUUACAUACGUCUGUACUACGAUGAUACAUUGCCUGUGUUUUACGGUAUCUUAGUGUAUAUAUUGUAAUGACCUAUUUUAUAUGUAUUUAAAAAACCUCGCCAAUGACGGUUCAAAUCGAAUCGAGGAGAAUGUACACAUUUUAAAAACCAUGAAGAUGCUGAACAAUCGGUGUAUAUGGGAGCAGUGGUACAAUUGCACUCUCUAACUAACUUGUAAGAACAUGAUAGUGCAAGACCUGAUGAAACUCCGAACAGUUCCCUUGUAAUUACUUAGACAGUUCUCUGUUAUUGUAGUCCCUGUUAUUGCUCCGGUUACAAAUAUGUUUGUUUCUUUGAACAAAUGUAUUAUUCUUUGCUGAAGUGAUGUACCACUGUUAUGCGGUAAUACAGAAUACUAAGUAUAAAGACACAGGAUUUCUACAACAAGGGA